rnacentral:lncRNA from 1 species
CAAGGGUGUCGCGUAGCUAGCCCGGGAGAGUUUCGUUUGCGCUAAGUGGUUGCUUCUUCCCCAUUUUAUAUUUUGAGAGGGUGUGAGGCUUUUGUAUCCAUGUAUAGAGACCACCUGUGUACCUACUUAUAGCACUUGUAUUUGGGAUCCCUAUUGUACUUACUUUAUGCUUUAUUUAGUGGAUUUACUGUUUUAUCCUUAUCCCUUGUUGUAGCAUUUAGACAUUUAUUAUGCUCUGAUACUUUUAGAUGUCUUUUAUUAUUGCUUUUAUUAUUGUUGUUUUUAGACGCCUUAUAUGUUGUAGACAUAUGGCGGGUCUGGGCACGCGCCGGGCGGGCUUCCGCUGGGUCCCGGGGCGUGACAUGACUCAUCCCAUAUUCC